rnacentral:rRNA from 1 species
GACGAACGCUGGCGGCGUGCUUAACACAUGCAAGUCGAGCGGUAAGGCCCUUCGGGGUACACGAGCGGCGAACGGGUGAGUAACACGUGAGCAAUCUGCCCUUCUCUUUGGGAUAACCAUUGGAAACGAUGGCUAAUGCCGAAUAUGAACCCCCUUCGCAUGUUGGGGGUUGGAAAGCUCCGGCGGAGAUGGAUGAGCUCGCGGCCUAUCAGCUUGUUGGUGAGGUAAUGGCUCACCAAGGCAUUGACGGGUAGCCGGCCUGAGAGGGUGACCGGCCACACUGGGACUGAGACACGGCCCAGACCCCUACGGGAGGCAGCAGUGGGGAAUAUUGGACAAUGGGCGAAAGCCUGAUCCAGCAACGCCGCGUGAGGGAUGACGGCCUUCGGGUUGUAAACCUCUUUCAGCAGGGACGAAGCGAGAGUGACGGUACCUGCAGAAGAAGGACCGGCCAACUACGUGCCAGCAGCCGCGGUAAUACGUAGGGUCCGAGCGUUGUCCGGAAUUAUUGGGCGUAAAGGGCUCGUAGGCGGUUUGUCGCGUCGGGAGUGAAAACUCAGGGCUCAACCCUGAGCGUGCUUCCGAUACGGGCAGACUAGAGGUAUUCAGGGGAGAACGGAAUUCCUGGUGUAGCGGUGGAAUGCGCAGAUAUCAGGAGGAACACCGGUGGCGAAGGCGGUUCUCUGGGAAUUACCUGACGCUGAGGAGCGAAAGCAUGGGGAGCGAACAGGAUUGGAUACCCUGGUAGUCCAUGCCGUAAACGUUGGGCGCUAGGUGUGGGGACCUUCCACGGUUUCCGUGCCGCAGCUAACGCAUUAAGCGCCCCGCCUGGGGAGUACGGCCGCAAGGCUAAAACUCAAAGGAAUUGACGGGGGCCCGCACAAGCGGCGGAGCAUGCUGAUUAAUUCGAUGCAACGCGAAGAACCUUACCUGGGUUUGACAUAUGCCGGAAAGCUGCAGAGAUGUGGCCUCCUUUUGGCCGGUAUACAGGUGGUGCAUGGCUGUCGUCAGCUCGUGUCGUGAGAUGUUGGGUUAAGUCCCGCAACGAGCGCAACCCUCGUUCUAUGUUGCCAGCACGUAAUGGUGGGGACUCAUAGGAGACUGCCGGGGUCAACUCGGAGGAAGGUGGGGAUGACGUCAAGUCCUCAUGCCCCUUAUGUCCAGGGCUUCAAGCAUGCUACAAUGGCCGGUACAAAGGGCUGCGAAACUGUAAGGUGGAGCGAAUCCCAAAAAGCCGGUCUCAGUUCGGAUUGGGGUCUGCAACUCGACCCCAUGAAGUCGGAGUCGCUAGUAAUCGCAGAUCAGCAACGCUGCGGUGAAUACGUUCCCGGGCCU